rnacentral:rRNA from 1 species
ACUCCUACGGGAGGCAGCAGUGGGGAAUCUUGCACAAUGGAGGAAACUCUGAUGCAGCGAUGCCGCGUGAGUGAAGAAGGCCCUUGGGUUGUAAAGCUCUUUUGUCGGGAAAGAUAAUGACUGUACCCGAAGAAUAAGGUCCGGCUAACUUCGUG